rnacentral:rRNA from 1 species
UACGAAGGGGGCUAGCGUUGUUCGGAUUUACUGGGCGUAAAGCGCACGUAGGCGGAUCGUUAAGUCGGGGGUGAAAUCCUGGAGCUCAACUCCAGAACUGCCUUCGAUACUGGCGAUCUUGAGUCCGGAAGAGGUGAGUGGAACUCCUAGUGUAGAGGUGGAAUUCGUAGAUAUUCGGAAGAACACCAGUGGCGAAGGCGGCUCACUGGCCCAUAACGGACGCUGAGGUGCGAAAGCGUGGGGAGCAAACAGG